rnacentral:misc_RNA from 1 species
UUUCAGCUUCUUUCCUAUUUUCUCUCACCCACCCACAGGAAUAUCUCUUCUACCAUUCUGUGAGAUCUCCUUCAAAGAUCCAUUUUCAGGAUGAUUUCAUAAAACAGAUUUGGUACUUCAGAAUUAAUAAAACCUUAUCUAAGCCCUGUAUCUUUGGUUGAGUUUUUCUCAUAAGAAAUUCAUUAUGUCAAAUUGAAGAAAAUUAAAAGGGGAAAAAAGAUUGGGUCUUUACCAGUUUGCAGAACUGCAGAAUGGAAACAGGCCAAGGCAGUUCAUGGAUCCCAGCAACUCCAGGGAAGCCAAGUUUUGCCGAAUCGCCACCAAUUUGCAGUACAGGACAGGAAAACCAGCAAGCUCAAGUUGAUUUGUCAGAUUUGCAAAGAAAACAAGCAGUAGAGCAUGCUAAUGGAAGCACAGCUGAAGCUCAAAAUGCUGUAGAGCAUGCUAAUGGAAGCACAGCUGAAGCUCAAAAUGCUGCUGCAAAUCGCGGUUCAACAAGUUCAGUAGAAGAUCAGUGCUUCACGACCUCGGAAGCAGUAGUGGGAACAAAGUCUGAAAUGUGUGGAGGUGGUAUAAAUAUGUACAAUAACUUCCCUAGUGAUAAUGUAGAAUUGUGGAGUAGUAUGUCUUUCGGGGAUCUGUUGGCGAUGGCACAUGCUGGUGGCAGUGGCACCACGCCAGCUGAUGAAACAGCUUAUAGUGUGAAGAGUUCUUUCCAACCGCUCAUCAAUACUCAGAAUGCAGAUGAAAGCUCUAUUUUAUCCAGCUUCCCUUUCAACUUGAAUUCACCACCAAAAAUGACGGGUGCAACCUUGAGCAGCAACAUCCAAUUCCAGUUUGAACCAGUAACACCAGAUAUGAUGAAGAUUAAAGGGCAAGCAUCUAAUGCAUCAAACCUAGAUAUUAAUGUGACAACCGCAGCAAGAGUUAUACAGUCAAAUGAGGAUAUAAUAAAGGGAGCUGAAGCAAAUGAACUCCAACAGAAUAAAGAGCAGUCAGUGCUGAUCUUGGAAGGUAAACUGGAUACUGAACUGAAUAAUACACCAGAGCAAAAAACAAGACGAAGAAAGCACAGGCCCAAAGUGGUUGUAGAAGACAAGCCUAAAAGGACUCCUAAACCAAAAAUCCAAAAGCAGCCUGGUGCAGAGGAGACAAAGACAGAAAAGAGGAAAUAUGUCCGAAGAAACAAGGUUGGCGAACCUACAGCCACUUUUGCAGAUGAGGUAAGCAAUACAAUCUGUCACGAGGGAAAGCCUCCUAGUUCCGAGAAAACCCCAACAGCAAAAAGGAAGUAUGUCAGAAGAAAUCAAGUGAACAAGAGCACGGAAAAACCUUCUGAAGAAGGAAGCAGUGUAACAAUUGGCACACCUGCAGCCACCUCCACAGAAGAGGUAAAGAACACAACUUUUCAUGUGGGAAAGGCUCCCAGUUCUGAAGAAACUCCAACAGCAAAAAGGAAUGUCAGAACAAAUCAAGUUAACAUGAGCAUGGAAAAACUCUCUGAAGAAGGAAGCAGUGGAACAAAUGACCCGUCAGAAGUUCCUCAUUCUAGAAAAUCCUGCAGGAAAUCAUUGAGUUUUGAAUUGGAAAGCCAAGCAAGUGAUGAGUAUUCAUCAUACAGGCCGUCAACUUUGGAUUUGCAUGCAAAUAACUCUGGGUCAACAGCACAGUCUGUUCAGCUUGGACAAGGUAAAGAAACCACAAGUGAAGAAACAGAAAUGGGCAUAACUCAUAACAUCACCCGCUCCCUGAAUCAAGAGGUGAGAAAUUACUUAUCACAGCCUAGAAUGCAGUACCCUAGUCCUCCAACUCCGGACAAGGUUGGCUGGAAUCAUGACAAAACCAUGGUUGGGAAUCACAAUGAAAGCACAAGAGGAAAUAGCAGAAUCAUUUUUUCAGAUGUAACUCAUGAUAAACAGGCAAGCAUAUUACAAAUGACACCACAGAGCCUGAAUUCCAACUGCGGCAGCAGUUCAUGCUUACCACAUGGGAAAGGCUUGAAAAGACAGCAUUCAUGUAGAACUGAUGAAGCACAAUUCUACAGCAUAAAUGCCAAAGGGACGUAUUUCAAUUCUAUGCAGGCUUAUCAAGCAAUUCUUCCAGCAAAUAAACCUGAUGUUUAUAGUAAUGUAGGGAUGCAUUUUCCUGCUAUUUACAAGAAAAUGAGAGCAGAAAAGGGCCACAUCUCAACAUCAUCUUACAUCAAACUUUUUACUGGUGAAACUAACUACGUUUCUUCAUCUCAGUGCUAUAUCAGUGGUUCCCCUAGUAACAAUUCUGCAACCAAUAUAGGCAAUUAUGGAAUGUGGAAUUCCAAUGUUAUGCCAGCAUUUGUGGAAGCAGAGAGGUUGAGGAACAAGAUAUCAAACGGCCCAACUCAAGUACAUGACAUUGCAUCUCUGCAUGAAAUUUACAAACAAUUUCCAACUUCCACAUCUAAAGAAUUAACAAAAUAUGGAUUUGGAGAAAGAUAUAAAACUUCACAUCUAUCCAGUGCAUGCAUGGGAACUCCAAUUGCAGACACCCAAGCAGCAACGAAGAAAAAAAGGCAGUCAAAGAAGAGCAUCCUUGUCAGCUCGGCAGCUUCCAACUUAUAUACCCAUCAACAUGUUGCAAAAAAUGCAAGGGGUUCUCUGCCAGCUUUAACAUGGAGAGGCAUGUCUCCAAUCGAUGAAAUUGCAGAACGCUUGCGGCUUCUUGAUUUAAAUAGAGAAAGCAGCCAAAAUCAAGGUCCACAUGGAAUCACCUACCACACCAAGUUUCAAAGGGAGAGUGCUCUUGUUCUUUAUCAAAGAGAUGGAAGUAUUGUCCCUUUUGGAAGUUCGUUAGUUAGAAAACGAAAACCACGGCCAAAAGUUGAUGUUGAUGAUGAGACUGAUAGGGUAUGGAAGCUUUUGCUGCAAGAUAUAAACAGUGAAGGCAUUGAUGGAACAGAUGAAGACAAGGCUAAAUGGUGGGAGGAAGAACGUCGAGUGUUUAAUAGUAGAGCAGACUCAUUUAUUGCACGCAUGCGUCUUGUCCAAGGAGACAGGCGCUUCUCACCUUGGAAGGGAUCUGUUGUGGACUCUGUGGUUGGGGUAUAUCUUACACAGAAUGUUUCAGAUCACCUUUCUAGUUCUGCAUUCAUGUCACUCGCUGCCCACUUUCCUCUGAAAACAGACAGUACUCAGAAGCAUGAAGGAAAUACAGGUAUUAUAAUUGAAGAACCUGAAGAGUGUGCAACAGACCCCAAUGUUUCCAUCAGAUGGUAUGAAGAUCAACCAAAUCAGUCAACCCAUUGUCAGGAUUCUUCAGGAGUCUAUAAUACAGAUUCAAAUGAAGAAAAACCAGCUGUCAAUGACUCUGAAUCAAGUGAAAAUAGCACAGAAUGCAUAAAAUCAGCAGAAUGUUCUGUAAUUCUGCAAUCAGAUUCUUCUAGAGAAGGCUCAGAUCUGUAUCAUGGAUCAACAGUUACAAGUUCCCAAGAUCGAAAAGAGUUGAAUGAUUUGCCUUCUUCUCCGAGUUCUGUUGUUUCUUCUGAGAUCUCUGCUGUUAUUCAAGCUUCAGAAGGAACUGACUCAAGCAACUUUUGCAGCUCCACUUCUUUUUUGAAGCUAUUACAGAUGGCAGGAACUUCAGGAGCACAAGGAACCAGGUGCACUGAACAUCUACAAGAAGGUGAAAACGUUCCAUUCCUUGAAAAGGAACUUAUUUCCCCCAAAAAAAGUGUAUUGUCAGCAGAAUCUGCACAUUCAGCACUGUACACAACCCCUCAAAAUAAGUUGGACAUAGAGACAAUGACUGAUGCAGAAGACAAUGUUGAACUACAAUUUCCAACUGAAGAUAGCAAUAGCAAUGUCCAGCAAGUUCCUGAAGCCCCAGCCUGUUCAGAGACCAUUGUAAAUGUCACAGAAAGGGCCAGCAUAGUUUUUGAUUCAUGCAAGCCUGAGCAAAGAGGUUUGGAGUCCAGCUUGAAAAAUGACAGUAAUCAUGUUCGUAGCAAAGUAGACAAAGUAAAUGACAAUCCUUCUAAAGCAAAAAAUGGACAGCUUGGGAAGGAGAAAGAGAACAUUGAUUGGGACAGCUUACGGUUACAGGCCCAGGCAAACGGCAAGAAAAGAGAAAGGACAGCAAACACAAUGGAUUCACUGGACUAUGAAGCAGUGAGGUGUGCAAAUGUUAAUGAGAUAGCCCAUACAAUUAGAGAACGAGGAAUGAACAACAAGCUAGCAGAGAGAAUCCAGGCUUUUCUUAACCGGAUUGUUAGUGAUCAUGGAAGCAUUGAUCUUGAAUGGCUGAGAGAUGUUCCACCA